rnacentral:rRNA from 1 species
ACUCGAGUGGCGAACGGGUGAGUAACACGUGGGUGAUCUGCCCUGCACUUCGGGAUAAGCCUGGGAAACUGGGUCUAAUACCGGAUAGGAGCCAUUUUUAGUGUGAUGGUUGGAAAGUUUUUCGGUGUAGGAUGAGCUCGCGGCCUAUCAGCUUGUUGGUGGGGUAAUGGCCUACUAAGGCGGCGACGGGUAGCCGGCCUGAGAGGGUGGACGGCCACAUUGGGACUGAGAUACGGCCCAG